AUGAAGCUAGCCUUCUCAGCUAGCCUUUAGAUUUGUCUGCUAACAGUAAAAAUACUAUAAUAAAUCGGUAACAUAUGUUGCCAGGCAAGGAAAAGUGAUUUAAAUAAAGAGACUGGGAGACCCAAACCAAGUACAAUGUGAAAAGAAUUUAACUUUCAAUCUAUUUGCUGGCUAAUUACCAUUUGAAAAGUAAUUUGAAAGUGUUACUGUUAUUUGCUGAUAUUCUUCCUCAUUUUUCUUUUUUUCCUCUUCAGAUUGCAUUCUUACCCAAAUACUCUUCGUGAUGGCCUGCUUUGCGGCUUUGGGGAGAGGAAAUUGGACUCGAAUAGAUCGAGUAAAUUGACCCCUCAUCAGUAACAAGCAAGAGAGGACACCAGGUUUUGAACCCAGUUUCCCUUAUAAGAUGUCCAGUAUGUUUCUUGGUUGUUGGAAGGAACUGAUACAAAGAGAUUCCUGAAGAAGUUGUC